CUCGCUGCCGCGGCAGGCGGUGCUGGACUGCACAGGGACCUUCUCCUGCUCCGAGGCCUCGCUCAUGGUGCUGGUCACCUGCCAACCCGCCGAGCCCCCGCCCGACCGCGUCCGCAGGGGUCUAUUCAAGAAGCUGAGGAGGAAAAUCAAGAAGGGCUUUAAGAAAAUCUUCAAGCGCCUGCCUCCCGUCGGUGUCGGUGUCUCCAUCCCACUCGCAGGAAGGCGGUGAGGAGCCCGGGACGGCUCCAUCUGCACCUCCGGGACCCCCGGACCAGGCGCUCGGUGCCCUGGGAACGGGGCCUGGUGAACCCAGCCCUGGCCCUGAAGAGCCGUGACGGGGCUGGGGUGGGCAGGGAGGGGUGGCGGGUUCGGGGCUGCACGCUCCCGUUCCUCUUGUCGCAAUAAAUGGUGAAUGCAAUAA